UCAUUGGGGAGGUAAUGGCUCGCCUCGGCAAUGACACGACACUGGUCUGGGUUGAUGAUCAUGAUCACUGGACUGACCUGAGACCGACCCCUACUCCAGGCGGCAGUGGGGAAUAUUGAAUAUUGCCGGAGGAGGAAUGUCUGAUGGACCCGCGCCGCGUGAAGGAUGACACUUUUCAGAUCUUUUUUCCUUUAAUAUAAAAGNAUAAUGACCGGACUAUAAUGAAUAAGACCCCCGGCUAACUUCCGUCCCAGCAACAGCGGGAGUACGAGAGGGUGCAGACGUUACUCGGAAUCACUGGGUGUAAAGAGCGUGUAUGCGGGUUAAUAAGUNAGAAGUGAAAAUCCUAUAGCUUAACUAUAGAACUGCUUUCGAAACUGUUAACGUAGAAUAUGGGAGAGGUAGAUGGAAUUUCUGGGUGUAGGGGUAAAAUCCGUAGAGAUCAGAAGGGAAUACCGAUUGCGAAGGCGAUCUACUGGAACAUUAUUGACGCUGAGACGCGAAAACGUGGGGAGCAAACCAGGAUUAGAUACCCUGGUAGUCCACGCCCUAAACGAUGUACACUAGUUGUUGCGAUGCUAGACAUUGCAGUAAUGCAGUUAACACAUUAAGUGUACCGCCUGGGGAGUACGGUCGCAAGAUUAAAACUCAAAGGAAUAGACGGGGACCCGCACAAGCGGUGGAGCAUGUGGUUUAAUUCGACGAUACGCGAAGAACCUUACCUGGACUUGACAUUUACAGAAUUUUUCAGAGAUGAGAGAGUGUCUGCUUGCAGAAGCUGUAGGACAGGUGCUGCACGGCUGUCGUCAGCUCGUGUCGUGAGAUGUUGGGUUAAGUCCCGCAACGAGCGCAACCCACGUCGUUAGUUGCUAACAGUUCGGCUGAGAACUCUAACGAGACUGCCUGGGCAACCAGGAGGAAGGUGUGGACGACGUCAAGUCAUCAUGGCCCUUACGUCCAGGGCUACACACGUGCUACAAUGGGGCAUACAAAGAGCAGCGAUACGGUGACGUGGAGCAAAUCUCAAAAAUGCCUCCCAGUUCGGAUAGUAGUCUGCAACUCGACUACUUGAAGUUGGAAUCGCUAGUAAUCGUAGAUCAGCAAUGCUACGGUGAAUACGUUCCCGGGUCUUGUACUCACCGCCCGUCACACCAUGGGAGUUGAACUCAUUCGAAGCGGGGAUGCUAAGAUAGCUACCCUCCACAGUGGAUUCAGCGACUGGGGUG
rnacentral:rRNA from 1 species